UGAAGAGUUUGAUCAUGGCUCAGAUUGAACGCUGGCGGCAUGCCUAACACAUGCAAGUCGAACGGAAACGAUGCUAGCUUGCUAGCAGGCGUCGAGUGGCGGACGGGUGAGUAAAGUAUAGGAACUUGCCUAAUAGUGGGGGACAACGUGUGGAAACGCACGCUAAUACCGCAUACGCUCUACGGAGGAAAGCGGGGGAUCUUCGGACCUCGUGCUAUUAGAUAGGCCUAUAUAGGAUUAGCUAGUUGGUAAGGUAAUGGCUUACCAAGGCGACGAUCCUUAGCUGGUUUGAGAGAAUGAUCAGCCACACUGGGACUGAGACACGGCCCAGACUCCUACGGGAGGCAGCAGUGGGGAAUAUUGCACAAUGGGCGCAAGCCUGAUGCAGCAAUGCCGCGUGUGUGAAGAAGGCCUUCGGGUUGUAAAGCACUUUCAGACGUGAGGAAAAGUUAAUAGUUAAUAACUGUUAACCCUGACGUUAACGUCAGAAGAAGCACCGGCUAACUCCGUGCCAGCAGCCGCGGUAAUACGGAGGGGGUUAGCGUUGUUCGGAAUUACUGGGCGUAAAGC
rnacentral:rRNA from 1 species